rnacentral:misc_RNA from 1 species
GAUGAAGAACGUAGUGAAACGCGAUAUGUAAUGUGAAUUGCAGAAUUCAGUGAAUCAUCGAAUCUUUGAACGCACAUGUCGCCUUCCAGUAUCCUGGGAGGCAUGCCUGUCCGAGCGUCGUUUCAACCCUCGAGCCCUCGUGGCCCGGCGUUGGGGAUCUGCCACGGCAGGCCCCGAAAUACAGUGGCGGACCCGUUAGGCCCUUCCUUUGCGUAGUAGCAUCAGCCUCGCAUCGGGAGCCGGCGGGCUCUCCUGCCUCUAAACCCCCCAACAAGCCCGCUCCGGCGGCACCAAGGUUGACCUCGGAUCAGGUAGGAAUACCCGCUGAACUUAAGCAUAUCAAUAAGCGGAGGA